GGGCGUAAGAGCUCGUAGGCGGUUUGUCGCGUCUGCUGUGAAAACCCGAGGCUCAACCUCGGGCCUGCAGUGGGUACGGGCAGACUAGAGUGCGGUAGGGGAGAUUGGAAUUCCUGGUGUAGCGGUGGAAUGCGCAGAUAUCAGGAGGAACACCAAUGGCGAAGGCAGAUCUCUGGGCCGUAACUGACGCUGAGGAGCGAAAGCAUGGGGAGCGAACAGGAUUAGAUACCCUGGUAGUCCAUGCCGUAAACGUUGGGAACUAGAUGUGGGGACCAUUCCACGGUCUCCGUGUCGCAGCUAACGCAUUAAGUUCCCCGCCUGGGGAGUACGGCCGCAAGGCUAAAACUCAAAGGAAUUGACGGGGGCCCGCACAAGCGGCGGAGCAUGCGGAUUAAUUCGAUGCAACGCGAAGAACCUUACCAAGGCUUGACAUAUAGAGGAAACGGCUGGAAACAGUCGCCCCGCAAGGUCUCUAUACAGGUGGUGCAUGGUUGUCGUCAGCUCGUGUCGUGAGAUGUUGGGUUAAGUCCCGCAACGAGCGCAACCCUCGUCCUAUGUUGCCAGCACGUAAUGGUGGGAACUCAUGGGAUACUGCCGGGGUCAACUCGGAGGAAGGUGGGGAUGACGUCAAAUCAUCAUGCCCCUUAUGUCUUGGGCUUCACGCAUGCUACAAUGGCCGGUACAAAGGGCUGCAAUACCGCAAGGUGGAGCGAAUCCCAAAAAGCCGGUCUCAGUUCGGAUUGAGGUCUGCAACUCGACCUCAUGAAGUCGGAGUCGCUAGUAAUCGCAGAUCAGCAACGCUGCGGUGAAUACGUUCCCGGGCCUUGUACACACCGCCCGUCAAGUCAUGAAAGUCGGUAACACCCGAAGCCAGUGGCCAAACCCGCAAGGGAUGGAGCUGUCGAAGGUGGGAUCGGUGAUUAGGACUAAUC
rnacentral:rRNA from 1 species